CAGGCGAACGGCGGUUAUAUUUGUCUGUGGACCCAAGACUUCGUUGACGGGCAAAUAUGUCAGAUUUUCUUGUUUUUUAUUUGUGGCAUCUUAUUGUAAAGCCGUGACAUAUUUUGCCGUUUUCUCUAGGGAACCCUGCAACAAGGACUGUAGUGUGAAUAGCGUGCUGCGCUGCUCUCGCCAACUGAAAAGAACUCUGGUGUGCUGUAAAUGCCGACUGCACAAUAUGUGACUGGCCCGCGGCUGCUUUGAAGGUAAGAUUGUGUUCUCAUUAAUCUAUUUAUUGUACCAUUUGUUUUCCAGUGACAUAGCCAACAACGAAAACCUCGAUCCAUCCUCUCUCCACAUAUUAUCUAGUUUGUGCGCUGUGGAGCUUGAAGCACUUCUCGGAAUUUCAGCACACUCGCAUUUAUUUUUUUCCCGACAGAAGAAAAAUGCAAGUCUAACAUCUCGACGGUAAAACGUCGCAUCUGCGCACGUGUUCAGGGCCAAGAGCACGAGAAGUGGCCGAAAGAAGGGAGCCGAUCCAACAGGAAUGCCGUCCGUCUUUAUAUUUAUA